rnacentral:ncRNA from 2 species
UUAAACUCGCGGCACCUUGGUGCUCGCGCAUGCUCGAUCCAGCGUGCGCAGUUAAACGGGAAGCAGGAAGCAACGUCCGCCCGGACUGCGCCAACCUGCGCUGCCCCCGCAACGGUAAGCGACCGCAACGCAAGUUGCAAGCCGGUUCCACGCGUGAUGUCCGCUCGCUUCACAGCCGUUUCAUGGCAUUUCAUCACCUGAAAUGACACGAAAUAGCGCGGAUGAAACGCUCAUGCCACUGCGUUCAAUACGCGGGAAGGCGGACCGACGCGUCGCCAGCCCGGAUACCGGCCUCGGGGAGAGCACGGCC